rnacentral:rRNA from 1 species
AUUGAACGCUGGCGGAAUGCUUUACACAUGCAAGUCGAGCGGCAGCGCGGGGCAACCUGGCGGCGAGCGGCGAACGGGUGAGUAAUACAUCGGAACGUACCCAGUUGUGGGGGAUAGCCCGGCGAAAGCCGGAUUAAUACCGCAUACGACCUGAGGGUGAAAGGGGGGGAUCGCAAGACCUCUAGCAGUUGGAGCGGCCGAGGGCGGAUUAGCUAGUUGGUAGGGUAAAGGCCUACCAAGGCGACGAUCCGUAGCGGGUCUGAGAGGACGACCCGCCACACUGGAACUGAGACACGGUCCAGACUCCUACGGGAGGCAGCAGUGGGGAAUUUUGGACAAUGGGGGCAACCCUGAUCCAGCCAUUCCGCGUGAGUGAAGAAGGCCUUCGGGUUGUAAAGCUCUUUCGGCAGGAACGAAACGGUCCUUUCUAAUAAAGAGGGCUAAUGACGGUACCUGAAGAAGAAGCACCGGCUAACUACGUGCCAGCAGCCGCGGUAAAAC